rnacentral:tRNA from 1 species
GAAUUUGUCUGGAAAAGCGAGAACUGCUAAUUACUCACUCCUAUGGUUCAAUUCCAUAGCUAAUUCA